UAAGGUUAAGUGAAUAAGGGCGCUCGGUGGAUGCCUUGGCACUAGGAGCCGGAUGAAGGACGGGACUAACACCGUAUGCUUUGGGGAGCUGUACGUAAGCUAUGAUCCAGAGAUUUCCGAAUGGGGGAACCCAGCAUCUUUUAUAGGAUGUUACGUUUGCGUGAAUACAUAGCGCAUUCGAGGUAGACGCAGAGAACUGAAACAUCUAAGUACCUGCAGGAAGAGAAAGAAAAUUCGAUUCCCUGAGUAGCGGCGAACCAGAAACGGGAAAAGCCCAAACCAAUGAGCUUGCUCAUUGGGGUUGUAGGACUCCAAUAUGGUAGUUCUUUCAGAUAGUCGAAUGACUUGGAAAAGUCAGUUAAAGAGGGUUAAAACCCCGUAGAUGAAAUUUGGAAGGCACCUAGGAGGAUCCUGAGUACGGCGGAACACGAGGAAUUCCGUCGGAAUCCGGGAGGACCAUCUCCCAAGGCUAAAUACUCCCUAGUGACCGAUAGUGAACCAGUACCGUGAGGGAAAGGUGAAAAGCACCCGGAAGGGGAGUGAAAUAGAACCUGAAACCGUGUGCCUACAACAAGUCAAAGCCCGUUAAUGGGUGAUGGCGUGCCUUUUGUAGAAUGAACCGGCGAGUUACGAUUGCAUGCGAGGUUAAGUUGAAGAGACGGAGCCGCAGCGAAAGCG
rnacentral:rRNA from 1 species